CCGGAAUAUCGGCUCCACAGAGGACGCCAUCACAGAUCUUGCUUGCCUUAUCGUGACAUCUUCUUUGCCAUGCCCGUCUUUCCGGCUUGAGGCUUAUCAAACACUUUUGGGUUCAAGAUUCAGGACAAACAAGGCAAGAUGCACAAAUUUAACUGUGGUAUGCACACUCAUUUUGGUGUCACACAACUGGAGUUAUAUCAUCGCUCUUUCUUUUCCCAUGUCAUGCCCAGUAAUUUAUACUAUUGUUCAAGCUCCAUUGAUAAAUCGAACCUACCUCAA